rnacentral:misc_RNA from 1 species
ACAGCCGACUCACGGAAUACAACCUGAGCGACUGUGUCCAGUCGGAGUACUCCGAGGAUAUGUGGGAGUAUGAAUAUUUUGUGUACCUAUGAUGACGGUGCAGGGACUACUUUUUACUUAAUAUAUGUGAUACAAUCAAAAUAUUUAUUUUUUGCUGCAAUCGAUCUGACAUUUUUUUGUAUUUUGCUUUUCUUGCCUCUGUGUUCGAAUUUGUAGCACUUUUUACUCAGAUUUGUUACGUGAUGCUCUGAUGUGCCAUUUCCGAGUCUUUUAUGUAGAUAUGAGCAAUAUUUACUGUAUAACUGAUAUUUUCAAAGCAAUUUCGUCAAUAUUCUUACAAAUACAUUUCAAUUAAAGAGCAUUGGACUGAUUUGCAAAUUUUGAAUAAUUUGCUCUCAUUUUGAAGAAACAGGUUUUUCUCAGUAAUUUAGAGAAUCAACAUGCAUAAAAACCAUGCAGACAGG